rnacentral:rRNA from 1 species
AACCUGGGUUGAUCCUGCCAGUAGUCAUAUGCUUGUCUCAAAGAUUAAGCCAUGCAUGUCUCAGUAUCAGCAUUUCCAUUGCUAAACUGCGAAUGGCUCAUUAAAACAGUUAUAGUUUACUUGGCGGUCACUCGUUAUAUGGAUAACUGUGGUAAUUCUAGAGCUAAUACAUGCGUUAAAACCCGACUUCUCGGAAGGGUUGUAUUUAUUAGAUACAGAACCAACUCACCCCGGUGAUUUUGGAUGAUUCAUGAUAAAUGAACGGAGCGUAUGGCUUGGGCCGACGCUAUGCCAUUCAAGUUUCUGACCUAUCAGCUAUCGACGGUAGGGUAUUGGCCUACCGUGGCAUUGACGGGUAACGGAGAAAUUAGGGUUCGAUUCCGGAGAGGGAGCCCGAGAAAACGGCUACCACAUCUAAGGAAGGCAGCAGGCGCGCAAAUUACCAAUCCUGACACAGGGAAGGUAGUGACAAGAAAUCACAAAGCA